UCCCUGCUGGCUCAGACAGUACAGAAUCUGCCUGCAAUGCAGGAGACCUGGGUUUGAUUCCUGGGUGGGGAA
rnacentral:tRNA from 1 species